rnacentral:rRNA from 1 species
CCUACGGGAGGCAGCAGUGGGGAAUAUUGCACAAUGGGGGAAACCCUGAUGCAGCGACGCCGCGUGAAGGAAGAAGUAGUUCGGUAUGUAAACUUCUAUCAGCAGGGAAGAAAAUGACGGUACCUGACUAAGAAGCCCCGGCUAACUACGUGCCAGCAGCCGCGGUAAUACGUAGGGGGCAAGCGUUAUCCGGAUUUACUGGGUGUAAAGGGAGCGGAGGUGGCGAUGCAAGUUAGAAGUGAAAGCCCGGGGCUCAACUCCGGUACUGCUUUUGAAACUGGAUGGCUAGAUUGCAGGAGAGGCAAGUGGAAUUCCGAGUGUAGCGGUGAAAUGCGUAGAUAUUAGGAGGAACACCAGUGGCGAAGGCGGCUUGCUGGACUGUAAAUGACGCUGAGGCUCGAAAGCGUGGGGAGCAAACAGGAUUAGAUACCCGAGUAGUC